rnacentral:rRNA from 1 species
UACGUAGGGGGCAAGCGUUGUCCGGAAUUAUUGGGCGUAAAGAGCGUGUAGGCGGUCCGGUAAGUCAGCUGUGAAAGUCAAGGGCUCAACCCUUGAAAGCCGGUUGAUACUGUCGGGCUAGAGUCCGGAAGAGGCGAGUGGAAUUCCCGGUGUAGCGGUGAAAUGCGCAGAUAUCGGGAGGAACACCAGUGGCGAAGGCGGCUCACUGGCCCGAUACUGACGCUGAGGCACGAAAGCGUGGGGAGCAAACAGG